CCCAAAUCGAGUUUUUUAGAUUUUUUUCUUCCAGUUCCUCUCUUAAACUCCGCAGCUCCUUCCUUAGCUCAUGUUCAACUCCCACUGCCUGGAAAGUACAUUAGGAGAAGAACAUCAGAGAAGAAUCCAUAAUGUUUAAGAGUUAAUUUACACAAACUGUAAGGCAAAAAUCCUAGGGUCAACUUUAGAUGUUAGUCAUGCAACACAAAUAAAAAUGAAUUAAGGAUUCAGUGGAUUUCAAUAUGUCAAUGGUAAGCAUUUAAUUUUGUCUUUCCGGUUUAUAUAAAAAUGCCAAAUUUGAAAACAUCCAUGCAUGGGUGUGUGUGUGUGUGUGUGUGUGUGUGUGCCCUGUGGUGGGCUGGCACCCUCCCCAGGGUUUGUUUCCUGCCUUGCGCCCUGUGUUGGCUGGAAUUGGCUCCGGCAGACCCCGUGACCCUGUAGUUAGGAUAUAGCGGGUUGGAUAAUGGAUGGAUGGACUCUUUGUUAACAAGAUAAUGAGAAGGGCUCUCUGUUCAUAUUGAGAACUGUUAAUAAAUGAUUUUUGUUUGUCAGGUUUAAAAGGCAAUUCCGUCCUACGAUGCGUUUGGUUCAAAAGUGACUGACACCUUCCAGCAGCUGCGGGAUUUACAGAUGGGGGACUGGAAAGGAGCAGAGCCAGCUGCCCUCACUGGGCAUUUUCUUUGUGCUGUGAAGGGAACAAAAGAGGAGAAGGUUAACGCCAGCACCCUCUCUCAUCCUGGGGUGGUAGUAAAUACCUCAAAUGAGACCGGAGAGCGGUCCACAGAUGUGCAUGUGUGACAAUAGCAAUAAUCCAUAUGUCAAAAAGAUUAACUGCACUUGACCCCCAUGUAGGUCAUAAGAUAUUAAAAUUUCAGUUUAUCGAAGGUUUCCUCUUUUUUUAAUGUUUGCACUUUCUAGUUACAACUUCUUAGUAGGUAAUUUGUCUGUCACCCUGAAUCCUGCUAGGGGAAACAGUCCCAGACUCCUAUCUGUUUGCUGUUACUUAGACGAAUCCAGCAGGUUUAUUUAUGUCCUCCAGGUGUCAGGUGCACCUCCAGGGAUUUUCAUGAUAAACAUAAAUGCCAUUUCUUGCAAGACUGUGUUUAGUCUCAGAAGUUGGCACUUCCAAGUGGCGGGUGUGUCUUCUUGUGUAACCAUAAGAGCAACAUGUCCUUAUUUUUUUAGAGUCUUGCUGGUCUGCAUUCUUAGUAGUGGGUGGGUGAAACAGAGUGUCAUAUGACUGAUCAACAUUACCUUUCCAUUUUUUGUAAAGAUAAAGGUUAUUGGAAAUAAAGAUUUGUAAGUUAAAUUAAAAAGUGGUGAGGAAAGUGAGCAUGUGCACUUCUUCACUGAUCAUUUUUUGUAAGUGAAGCAAGAACUGAUUUAGAGCAAAAUUCCUCCACACCUUAACGGGUUAUUCUACAUUUUCACAUACCCCUAAUGCAUUUGCUUUGGGGGCUCUUUUAGCAAAGUAUUAACUCUGGUAUCCAAGAGCAGCUGAACCCUGUAAGAUGCCAUCAUAGUCCUUGAUGGUUCUGCUGGCUACUACCUGUUACUGCUUAUAAGGAAAAUAAAAGUGGCAUUUGUUUAAUAGUGCAACAAUAACAUGAAUAAGGAGUAACCCCACAUAAAAAAAUCCUCAAAUGUACCUCUGCAAGCUGCUCCACAAGCCUCUGGUUAUGACUGGACAGAUCCUUUAGGUCAUCAUUGUCCUCCUUCUUCUUGUCUCUGCUCUGAUUCUGCCAUCUUUGUAAGUCAGACCUUGCCUCUGUCAGCUCAAAGUCUAAAUCAGCAACACGCUGGGCCAACUCAGUGUUCUCAGAUUCCAGUUUCAACUUUAUCUCAUGAUGCUGUUGUUGUAAAGUCUCAAUGAAAGAAUAGCAUUUC